UCGGAUAUGGUGUAACGGCUAACAUUAGCGCCUCUCAUGGUGUACGCGUCCAGUGAAUUGAGCGCGCUAGCUCGGGGUUCGAUUCCCCGUAUCCGAA